rnacentral:lncRNA from 1 species
UAAGAAAUAAUUUUGGCUUGGAAGAAGGUUUACCGUUAAUUACACGGCCCAGUAGAUUUUUCUUCUCUUGGUUUGCCUAUAAAUAUUGGAGCAAGCAAGUGCUAUAGAUCAUCGUUCUCCAUACUUAGCAUGGUGAAGAUGGCUUUCUUUAAGACCUCUCAAGUCAUGUUGAUGGCCAUCUUUGUAGGAAUCAUCCUUCUCAUGUCCUCUGAGGUCGCUACAGCUGCAACACUACUUAAAUUUGGUCAGUAUAUUUAGGGGACUGCCCACGCAUGUAUUUCAUAUAUGUUUCUGAUAAACAUGCCAGUGAUGGCAUCUCCAUGUAUUAAGUCUUAUUAUCCUUUUUAUAUAUGUAAGUAUAUAAGGUAGAGAAAUGGCGACUAAUAUUUAAGACAUGUGUCUACUUUGAUCUGUCGCAGGACGAAGGGUUCUGGGUGUACCAAUUGGCAUGGACUGUGGUACAGACAACUAUGGAGUUCCGCGCUAUUGCACAGGAAUGGGAGGAUUUGCUGAGCCCCCGCCGCCAUAGGGCCCAUAACCAUAGUUAUGUAGAAAUUCAAAUAAAAUUAUGUAAGGGGAUUAUCAGAAAAAUAAUAGAUCUGAAUGAUGAUCUCAGCAUUUGGAUGUAUAAGAUUGAUGAGUGUCUUAAAAGAGAUGUAUUUCAAUUCUUGCUUUAUUCUCUUUCUAGUACUGUUGGAGCUCAUUUAAUUCAGAGUAGAGAGUUUCUGUAUGGGGUAUAUAUCAUGCAAUAUGGUAAUGUCGUAGAAUACAUAUGGAUGCACUGCACAGUUAGGAGAAAUGUGGUGAUAGAACUACAUUGUCAUCAGUUGAGUUUCCAUAGCAUUGCCAGCGUAGAAUUGCUUGUUCUACGUGGAAUAGACCCAAUGAAAGUGCUCAACAUGUAUUUCAAUUGCGAUUGAGAAAGAACAGAAGAAAAUUUGAAAUCUGUGUACAUGGGGUGACUGAGUAAAUGGAUCCAUUUCAACGAGUGGUUAGUUCUUCUGAAAUACAAGUUAUUGGAGACAAAUGACGCCGUAGCAACCUUGCUUUCAUUGAUUUGUCUUAUAUGCAUGGUCUAUGCACAAUUUACUUGUCCCAUCAUUUUCAUUACCACUUUUCUCCAACCAGCGUUCUAAAAUGAUGCUUUGGCUGCUCCCGAAAACGCAGAGAAAAUACUUCUUCCAUAAGAUUGGAAGAAUACAUGGUAGGUGUGUAAGACUGUAAUAUUACUUUCUAUGACUCUUGGCUUUGGGUAGAGGAAGUGGAGGCCCACACGCACGCUCCACGGGUUCCAAUUUUCAAAUCUGUCAUUCUUUUUACUCUUAAGUUCAACUAAAAUUGUUUCCUUCUUGCUCAACCAUUCAUUUUUGUAGCUAGAACUUGGCCUGUAGAAAACCUCUCGCUGGGGUAAUGUUUUUUUUUUCCCUUGUGCCAACCAUACUUUGCUUUAUACUGAAUAUUAGAAUGAAGAUAUCACCCAAUCUUUUUGUGAACCUAAAAAAACUGUAAUGUAAUCUCAAAUCAAUUUUCACACUUUGGAUCAUCCACUUUGCCCUCUUAUCUUUUUGAGUUUGAUGGUUGUGCAUGAAUUUCAAUAUAUUUGUUAGAGUUAUUUAUUUAUUAUAUUAGAAUUAUUAUCCUUGUAGGAGUAGGAGUAAAUUAAUCUUUUACUGUCUUUGAUUGUGAGUCUAUGGAAAUUCUAUUUGCAUUAUAUGUAUUUUUUUUUUCAAGCCGGCCUUCACAAUUGGAAACCCUAGAUUCUUUUUAUUAGAGCAUAAUUGACUUUAAUAGAAUUAUUGAUUUAUGAUAUCAUUGAAGAAAGUUUAAUCUUAUAUAUAAUUGUCUACUUGAUAUUUUAUCGUUUGUGUGAAAAUACAAGCUCAUGCUUCGGAAAAUUUUCUUAUAGGUGUGAGGAUAGGCAUAAAUAGAUUGAAAACUAGUUCUUCAAUUGAAACUAAGCAAUAUGACUUUCACACAGAAGAGAAGAUAAAUGAAGACCAAUCCAACGGUAGAAGGGUAGCGAUUAGAGAAGGGAAUUAAGCAAUGUUUUUUAUUCUUCUUUGGUUUGUAUUUGUUUUUGUUUUUGUUUUUUGUUUUUUUUUUUAUUAUUGUUUUUGUUUUUGGUGGUUAUUUAUUAUUUUAUUCAUCAUGAUCAGAGAAAAAGAUGAAGUGUGAGAUUGGA